rnacentral:sRNA from 1 species
AUGCACCACUCGUGCACUCCGGUUCCUCUGCGCCGCACCUACCUGACGAACGCUCGCGACGGUUUGGUAGCC